GUUUGAGGUGCUGGCACCUCGCUUCUCCUCCUGCACUCGCUCAGACAUGGUGUGGCAGAUUGUGUGCUGGAAGCUUCUAGAGAAGGUGCUGGAGUGCUGGCUGGAGAGUGGGAUCACUGGGCAGGUGCAGGCUGUCAACAGGCCUGACAGAGGUCCAGGAUCAUGGGGAACCUGGUGUUGAUGGACAAAAAGGCCCGGUUUGUCAUCACCCAACCCCCUCUGGAUUAGCAGCUGUAUGUGAGCCGGGCUCUGCUGCUGUGUGUGGGACGACUGAGUGAUACAGGGCUACAGGAGCUACGCUCGGAUACACCACGGCACAGCAUUGUGUCACACGAUCAGAGCCGUUCACAUUACUUUCUGACCUGUCCACCUCCGGGUUGUGUUAAUUUGAGAAAUGAACAACAACUAAAAUCGUCAAAUUUUGUUAUGGGAAGUGUCCGUGUAGUCCCGUCUUGUUCAAGUCUAUUUUCUCCUGUUUGGUGCGUCAUGAUCACGACCCUUCUAUCCUUUCCUCUGUCAGAACUGCUACAGUUCAUGCUGGGAGAGAUGCAGAGCCACCUGGAUAGCAGCGUAGUGCGUGUUAGGGGCAUGGUGGUGGGCGAGUGUCUCCACUCCUGCAUGGACCUCAAUGGAGCCAAGUUGAAAUUCGAGAUCAGAGAUAGAGGAAGCCACUGUAGACUAUUGAGGUGCACCCCUACAGUAGGCUAUGGCUGCCUUAUUAGGAGUCCUGUGUAGGACACAGGGAAGGGUGUGUGUUCAGUGUUUCUUUCCCUCGGGAUGAGGAGACCAAAGGAGCUGCUCUCAAUGAUGAUCACUGGCUGAUGAAGAAACGGAGCCGCUUGAUGACAGAUUGGGCAGACUGUAGCCGCUCAGGUUGUACCAUCCUAGGCUGCUUCACUGGCCCAAAAAUCAGGAGCUGACCCUGAUUCAGAGCUGGAUAGUGAUGAUUCGCUCAACCCCUACUGACCAGGAGAUGAGCCAAGCCACCCCACCUCGCUACCUCCGAGACCUCUUGAUG